rnacentral:rRNA from 1 species
GACGAACCGUGCGAACGUUGUUCGGAAUCACUGGGCUUAAAGGGCGCGUAGGCGGUCGGUCAAGUCCGGGGUGAAAUCCUGCAGCUUAACUGUAGAAGUGCCUUGGAUACUGGCUGGCUCGAGGGAGGUAGGGGUCUGUGGAACUUCUGGUGGAGCGGUGAAAUGCGUUGAUAUCAGAAGGAACGCCGGUGGCGAAAGCGACGGACUGGACCUCUUCUGACGCUGAGGCGCGAAAGCUAGGGGAGCAAACGGG